GAAUUCAUCACUCAAGAUGGCAGCACAAUUUACGUACCUCCAAUAGUAUUUAGUAGAGAGACUAAUUGUGGUCAACGUUUUGAGGAUCCUUAAAACGUCAAAUUAAAGAUGGAUAAUACUUGAACUUCGCCGAAUUCAAGUCAAAAUGUUUGUCCAAAUCCAAUAUGUUCUUUAUUAAAAUCAAGCCAAAAAAGAACAUGCAUGCAUUGGAAUAUCGAAAAAGAUUUAAUGAUGAUAAAGGAUGUGAUUAAUUGAUUUUAUUUAGAACAUGCAUGCAAUGGAAUAUCGAAAAAGAUUUAAUGAUGAUGAAGGAUGAAACUUUAGGAGUUUUAAUUCAAAAACCUGGAAGUAAAGAGAUAUGGUAGCAGGUUUCUGAUUUGUUAAACAAAAACGGUUUCUAUGUUACAAAGAGAGGUAUGAGAUCGAUUAUCUAAUAAUAUGAAAAAGCAUCGUGCUCAGGCGAACAAGGAAAAAAAACUUUCUGGUGAAGGUGGAGAAGAAAUAACUGAAUACGAUAUUUUGGUUGAAGAAUUAAUUGAAAUCAGUGAUGACUCAGUGAUGUUCAGAAAUCAGUGAUGACACAGAUGUUCAGAAAUCAGUGAUGACACAGAUGUUCAGAAAUCAGUGAUGACACAGAUGUUCAGAAAUCAGUGAUGACACAGAUGUUCAGAAAUCAGCGAUGACACAGAUGUUCAGAAAGAUGAAAAAUCUCAAGAAAAAGAUGAAGAUCGUAUGAAAGCUUUAGAUAAAAGAAAUAAUACUAAGAGUUCUUGCUCAGCAACAACAAAAUAAUAUAAAAAGUAUGUUUAAUCAUAUGUUAGCUCAACAAACAGAAAUAUUAAAAAUGUUAUUAGAAAAAAGAAAUUAGU